rnacentral:rRNA from 1 species
GACGGAGGAUGCAAGCGUUAUCCGGAAUGAUUGGGCGUAAAGCGUCCGCAGGUGGCAGUUCAAGUCUGCUGUCAAAGACCGGGGCUUAACUUCGGAAAGGCAGUGGAAACUGAACAGCUAGAGUAUGGUAGGGGCAGAGGGAAUUCCUGGUGUAGCGGUGAAAUGCGUAGAGAUCAGGAAGAACAUCGGUGGCGAAGGCGGCAUCCUGGACCGGUAUUGACGCUGAGGCGCGAAAGCUAGGGGAGCAAACGGG